rnacentral:rRNA from 1 species
UACAGAGGUCUCAAGCGUUGUUCGGAUUCAUUGGGCGUAAAGGGUGCGCAGGCGGCGAGGCAAGUCGGACGUGAAAUCCCGGGGCUUAACCCCGGAACUGCGUUCGAUACUGCUUUGCUUGAGGACUGGAGAGGAGACUGGAAUUCCUGGUGUAGCAGUGAAAUGCGUAGAUAUCAGGAGGAACGCCAAUGGCGAAGGCAAGUCUCUGGACAGUUCCUGACGCUCAUGCACGAAGGCCAGGGGAGCAAACGGG